UGAGGGAAUUAUGACUAUUGGUUGCACAAAUUGGUGAGGUCUGUGGCAUUGGAGAUUACACAGAGGGAGCCAUUGCCUCGAUAGCCUUCAAUGAGGUUGGGCUCUACAUAAUUUAUAUCCUAUUCAGAUCACUAUGGGUAUCCUUUACAUAUACUCACAUGAUUGUGCAACUUUCUUGCUAAUGUGGGAUGUCCCUGUUGUGGAUGGAAAUACUAUUCGAGUUAUCAGUGGGCUCUAGGAUUCCUGGUAAGCAACUGUCUUUGUUGAUCACUGAUAAAGCCUUGUAAACAUAUCUAUGACAUUCCACGACUUUUUAUAUUUAUGACAAAAUAGCUCUGGUGAAUAUCACACUUCAUUGGGCUGUACUCACAAGGUUCUGUAUGGUACUGAUCCUGUGUAUCAUUUUCUUCCUGCUGAGCUGGUUACUGGAGGUGUUGGUGAUUAUGAGGCAUCCACUUUGUUGCAAGAUCAUCAAUUGUUUUGUGACAUGCUUCAGCAGCAGUUGUCUAAGGCCCAAGUAGAA
rnacentral:lncRNA from 1 species